rnacentral:rRNA from 1 species
UGAUUAAGCCAUGCAAGUCAAAUGUUCUUCGUGAACAUGGCGCAAUGCUCAGUAACACGUGGAUAACCUGCCCUCAGGUCCGGCAUAAUCUCGGGAAACUGAGGAUAAUUCCGGAUAUCCCUUUUCUGUUGGAAGACUUAAAGGGACAAAGAAUUUCGCCUGAGGAUGGGUCUGCGGCCUAUCAGGUUGUAGGGGGUGUAAGGUACCUCCUGGCCGACGACGGGUACGGGUUGUGAGAGCAAGAGCCCGGAGAUGGAUUCUGAGACAUGAAUCCAGGCCCUACGGGGCGCAGCAGGCGCGAAAACUUUACAAUGCAGGAAACUGUGAUAAGGAGACACCGAGUGCUCGCAUCAAAUGCGGGCUGUCCGCUUACUUAAAUCGUAAGCGUUAGCAAGGGCCGGGCAAGACCGGUGCCAGCCGCCGCGGUGAUACCGGUGGCCCGAGUGGUAGCCGCUUUUAUUGGGUCUAAAGGGUCCGUAGCCGGUUCGGUCAGUCCAUUGGGAAAUCCGGAUGCUCAACAUCCGGGCUCCCAGUGGAUACUGCCGAACUUGGGAUCGGGGGAGGUAAGAGGUACUAUAGGGGUAGGAGUGAAAUCUUGUAAUCCCUGUGGGACCACCUGUGGCGAAGGCGUCUUACCAAAACGAGUCCGACGGUGAGGGACGAAAGCUGGGGGCACGAACCGGAUUAGAUACCCGGGUAGUCCCAGCCGUAAACGAUGCUCGCUAGGUGUCAGGCAUGGCGUGACUGUGUUUGGUGCCGAAGGGAAGCCGUGAAGCGAGCCACCUGGGAAGUACGGCCGCAAGGCUGAAACUUAAAGGAAUUGGCGGGGGAGCA